rnacentral:hammerhead_ribozyme from 1 species
AUCCAGUUGACGAGUCCCGAACUGGACGAGACGUGUGUCAAACUGGAU